GUGACACCUUAGCAUCCCAAAAGGACAGAGAAGCUAGCAAGAGUAAUGGCAAGACUAAACCAUAUGAUGAGAUACCUGCAGAACCAGAAUAUACCAAUGACAAUCCAGUGGCAGCCACAAUACUAAAGGGACAACAAAUACAAGAUACCUAUCUACAGCCAACAUAGUAGAUGUUCCAUGACUAUUGUUAAAUGAUUCUCUCACACACCAAAUCUUAUACAAUACUUUAUAUUCAUAUA